ACAUUUUUUGGGUAAAAACUAAUGCAAGACUGUGUGAAGGUCAGAGAAUGAUUAACGUUGAGAGAAACAUGCAAUAUAAACAGGCUGGGUAAUGUAAGCAUUUUAGAAGUAAAGUGUUGCAAGAAUUAUGGACCACUGGCAGCAAGAAUAUUGGCACGGUCCUACUUAGUGCAGGGAACUACAUGCAGAGUAUACCUCUGGGGUUUGUCAGGAUAUAGAAGAUUCUGCUUUCCCCGUAGGGCUAACGUUUAAACUCAGAGGGGGGUUGACAGAGGUGGUCAUUGCAUUUAGUGGGUUAUCAACUGGAUUUCUCACAUGUCGGCACCUAAACUACUAGCAAGCAGUCUACAGUCAGCCAAUGCCUUGUCUUGGCAGGGUGUCCACAGGAA